ACACCAUGGCUGCAGAGGGGGUCUGCGCCCCGGGCGCUGUCAUCCCCCUGCCAGCCCCUGACGAGAGCGGCUGCUCGGACGAGUUUGCUCUGGACUGCACCUUCGCUGCCUGCGACCCCGAGCGAACAGGGAUGGUGCAGCCGCAGCGGGUGGUCGAGUACGUGGCGGCGAUGACGGGGCACAGCGGGCACGAUGGG